rnacentral:rRNA from 1 species
ACGAACGCUGGCGGCGUGCUUAACACAUGCAAGUCGAACGGUGAAGCGCCUUCCUUUUUGGUGGGUGUGGAUGAGUGGCGAACGGGUGAGUAACACGUGAGUAACCUGCCCCCUUCUUCUGGAUAACCGCAUGAAAGUGUGGCUAAUACGGGAUAUUCUGGGUCUGUCGCAUGAUGGGUCUGGGAAAGAUAUUGUUUCGGUGGGGGAUGGGCUCGCGGCCUAUCAGCUUGUUGGUGGGGUGAUGGCCUACCAAGGCGGUGACGGGGCGCCGGCCUGGGGGGGUGGACGGCCCCAGUGGGACUGAGCCACGGCGCCGCCUCCUACGGGCGGCAGCAGUGGGGAUUAUUGCACAAUGGGCGCAAGGCUGAUGCAGCGCCGCCGCGUGAGGGAUGGAGGCCUUCGGGUUGUGCACCUCUUUCGCCAGUGAAGCAGGCUUGCCUCGUUUGUGGGUGGGUUGACGGUAGCUGGAUAAGAAGCGCCGGCUAACUACGUG